ACGGGAGGCAGCAGUGGGGAAUUUUGGACAAUGGGCGCAAGCCUGAUCCAGCAAUGCCGCGUGAGUGAAGAAGGCCUUCGGGUUGUAAAGCUCUUUUGUCAGGGAAGAAACGGUAGAGGCUAAUAUCCUUUGCUAAUGACGGUACCUGAAGAAUAAGCACCGGCUAACUACGUGCCAGCAGCCGCGGUAAUACGUAGGGUGCAAGCGUUAAUCGGAAUUACUGGGCGUAAAGCGUGCGCAGGCGGUUUUGUAAGUCUGACGUGAAAUCCCCGGGCUCAACCUGGGAAUUGCGUUGGAGACUGCAAGGCUAGAAUCUGGCAGAGGGGGGUAGAAUUCCACGUGUAGCAGUGAAAUGCGUAGAGAUGUGGAGGAACACCGAUGGCGAAGGCAGCCCCCUGGGUCAAGAUUGACGCUCAUGCACGAAAGCGUGGGGAGCAAACAGGAUUAGAUACCCUGGUA
rnacentral:rRNA from 1 species